rnacentral:tRNA from 7 species
CGGGAUUUAGCGCAGUUGGUAGCGCACACGUCUGGGGGGCGCGAGGUCGCUGGUUCGAGUCCAGUAAUCCCGACUA